CCCUCACACACACACGCACGCACGCGCAGUCCGACGGGCCCCCAAGUUUGCCCUCACGCUAAUGCGCGCGCGCGCAUCCACACAACGAACAACCCCCCCUUCCCCCCCCUCUCUCUCUCUCACACACACUCUCUUUCGCUUUGUGGGCCGCGCGCCCGCCCGGCCGCGCGAACACUCACACCGCAGGCUCUCCUCCCUUGUCCCUCCUCCCUUCAAAGGUCCAGCACGCAGGCGCGCGCCCACGGCCACGCGCGUAGUACCUUCCCCCCCGCCCUUUCCUGUCUCUAUAGCUGGAGCUGAGGGCCACGGACGUUUUAUUUCACGUUUGAGCUUUUCACCUCAGCCUAAAACAGAUAGAUAAAUAACGGCCGGCCGUCUGAAGGACGGAGUGUGUGUGUAGAAGGGUGACCAAAAAAAAACACCUCUCUCUCUCUCUCUCACACACACACACACACCCGGCCCGUGAGGGACCAGAAUAUGUCUUUUUUUAAAAAGAGCUCCUUUUCCGGCGCUGUUCUCGGCGGAAAUGUUGGGCGGCGGCAGCGUAGACGAGACCCGGCUUGAGGACCUCGUCCACACGGGCAGCUGAGGAACCCGCUUGGCUCCGAAUUGGGAAGGAAGGACCCGCGGAGGAGGGCUCGGGGCGGAAUUAAAAGGCCGCCCGGCCUAACCGCCAGCGGCUCCCUGCAAGCGCCGAGGCCCCAAAGCCUCAGACAAUAACUGCGCUGCCCCUCCCCCCCGCCCCACCGCCGUCCAGCAUAAACCACCGCAGCCACCGAGCGCUCCCGGUUCCGCCCUUCCCUUCCCUGUCAACCAAUUAGUGCCGCGCAAGUCUCAUUUUCGGCCAAUCGUUUAAAAAGAAAAAGCCCCCGUCAAACGGGCGUGCCUACGUCACCGCGUGCGGCAAGAAGACGCCUGCAAUCCCUUGUACUUCCCCAAUUGUGGUGAGGCGAGCCGCAAGGCCGUGGCGCUGAGAUCAUCAUCAGAGCCUGCAGAAAAUGCAGAAAUAAUGGUCUAUCACCCUACAGGACUAGACAGCCAUGCAUGUCAGGUCAUGGGAAGAAUGUGAUGAGACAUGCUUAUGCAUUCACGAGACUCUCAAUUCAGGCUGUGGCAAUAUUGUUUUUCCCAAGACACACAGUUAUGUUCCACCAUUGUCAAACCAGUAUUACAGCUUUCAGGCAUACGUUCCUGCUGUGCUCAAUUCAUAUAAUAAACCUUUAUUUAGUGCACCCUAA